GAUGAAGAACGCAGCGAAAUGCGAUAAGUAAUGUGAAUUGCAGAAUUCAGUGAAUCAUCGAAUCUUUGAACGCACCUUGCGCCCUUUGGUAUUCCGGGGGGCAUGCCUGUCCGAGCGUCAUUGCUGCCCUCAAGCACGGCUUGUGUGUUGGGCCUCCGUCCUCCUCCCGGGGGACGGGCCCGAAAGGCAGCGGCGGCACCGCGUCCGGUCCUCGAGCGUAUGGGGCUUCGUCACCCGCUCUUGUAGGCCCGGCCGGCGCUUGCCGACACAUCAAUCUUUUUUCCAGGUUGACCUCGGAUCAGGUAGGGAUACCCGCUGAACUUAAGCAUAUCAAUAAGCGGAGGA
rnacentral:misc_RNA from 1 species